CCGGCGACCGGCGCACGGGUGAGUAACACGUAUGCAACCUGCCCGGUCUCAGGGGGAUAAUCGUCGGAAACGGCGUCUAAUACCCCGUAUGAAGCUGGACGGCAUCGUCUGGUUUUGAAAGAAUAUCGGAGACGGAUGGGCAUGCGGCGCAUUAGCUAGUUGGCGGGGUAACGGCCCACCAAGGCGACGAUGCGUAGGGGUUCUGAGAGGAAGGUCCCCCACACUGGUACUGAGACACGGACCAGACUCCUACGGGAGGCAGCAG
rnacentral:rRNA from 1 species